CGAGCGAAGGGUACCCUCGAGCGAGGCCACACCAGAUCCCAUUGCCGCUGCCCUUGCACUCGCAUCCCUCCGCCGCCGCCCUGGCACAUCAAGCCGCCGCAGAUCCAUCCAUUUGCCGCCACCCUCGCACAUGAAGCCACCGCCGAUCCCUGUGCUACCUCGACGGGAGCCAUUAAUCGUCUCGCUACAACUUGAAGCUGCAACUUGGGCGGUGCCAUGGAUCCUUGUGCAGAGAAAACAAGACGGGGGGAGGUCAGGGAGGAGCAGUAGGAGGAGUGAAGGAAAAGAAGGCGGCGGAGAAGGCUCUGCUCACCGGAGAGCUCGAUCGGCGGCGACGAACUCCGAGCCGCACGUUCUGGUGACGGAGGGCUGGAACCGGUCGAUGGGGAGACCUAUAGGCGCGCGACGGCGACGGUUUGGGACGGCGGCGAAGCUGCAACUCGGACGGCGCCAUGGCUUCCUAUGCAGAGAAAACGAGAUGAGGGGGAGGUUAGGGAGGAGCAGAAAAAAGGCGGCGGAGAAGGCCCUGCUCGCCGGAGAGCUCGACUGGCGUCGACGCUCGCUGUAGCGGGAGUAUGCUCGGGCGUACCGGCAUGAGAGCUGCAGUUGGUGGGAAUUGGCUGCGGGCAUAGGAACCGUGGAUUGAUCCCACGUACACACAGCACUUCUCGGCUCUACGAAAUCCAUGGCUCAAGUGCGUGUCCCGGGGUCCGAGCCUCUAUCACUUCUUCAGUUCCGGCUUGCUUCAAGAACAAAAAAUUUCUGUGUGGAAGACCACUAGCAGAACUGAAUGUUUUAUAUAGCAGGAUAAGGAUACAUGCUUGUACUGCCUCUAUCAUAAAUUGCACAUGAGUUGAUUCCGAGUUUAGACAGCUAGCAAUCAAUCGCUCUGAAGCAAGGGUUCUCUCAGCGGCUUGCUCGAAUCGUCCACCACCGACCGCCACUGGUGCAAGCUGAAACUCACCCGGGGGAGCACUGGCUGGCGCGACCGUGGCAGCGAGGACCAGGUCAAGGCUUCGCAAUAAGCGCCGGAUCAAGCCAUGAAACACGUUGACAGAUUAGUUUUCCACCUCAUGUUUACUUCACCAUGUAGUUGGGUGUAACGUGAGUUCUGCUCUUCUGCUAGGCUGUUGGGAGGAGCGACCCUGCCAUCACGUGGAGAACGAGCGGCUCUUGGUGCUCGACAAGGUGCCUGAGCAAGGCAUAUUAGUGGAGAUGGCUUGACCCUGAACUUGCUUUCCCCAAAUUUGUUCAGUGAGCAGUGCUAUCAUAUUCUCCUUGCUCUUACCAUGGAUAGGUUUGGAGUUUGGGUAUUUUUAGUUCUCGCAUUUGGACCAAAAUGAUUGGGGCAGUGGAGAUUGACACGAGCAAUUUUGAACACAAGGUCAGACAAUGAAGGAUUUGUUGUCGAGAUAUCAAAAGUUGCUCAUAUCAACUGGAAAUAUAGAAGUUAUAUUCAGUAAUGCAGACAUAUAGUUUUUUUGCAUAUGAAAAUAGAUUGUCAACAUAUAUUAUUUGGCUCAAUAAAUUGUGUUGUGAAUCACUUCGAAUUGUUUGUAACAAUGCACAUUUUUCAUACAACACCUUAAUAUGUAGCUUAUAAGGCUUUUAGUUUGUGAAUAAUUUGUUCAAAGAGUCACACUGUAUCAUCACACAAGGCAACAAUAUAUUAAGGUGAAGACUUUGUCAUCUAUACUUGUUGAUACCUUUUCAAUUAUGCUUACCUUGCAUCCUUCUGUUAACAGUUUAGAAAUAUAGUUAUGUUCAUUGAUUUCUUCUACAGUUAUCCCACGUUAGUAUAGGUUGUGGACGAUCGUAUAGUGUUUUCUUUAAUUGCGGAUCAGGUGUCAUUCACUUUUGCAAAGAUAGGCCAGUAAGAUAUCUAGAAUUUCCUUCAUGUGGUUGCAUCAUUUUUUAAACCGUGUAAGUUUUGAGUGAAACUAUACUAUCUGUUAACACAAGGAUAAGAAAGAAUGGAAUUGAUUGUAAGCAAUUCUUCUUGAGAUAGAGACUUUCUGUGUAGUUUGCUGCAAGUGUUUAAAUCUGAAUUUCAGUUUGAGAUAUACAACCGACAAUCUGAGGUCAAUACUACUGCUCAGACAAUCUAGAUAUUUCAACAAAAUUUCUUUGCAAACUCGUACAGAAGCUUAAUAAUAUGCCUGCUACUUGGGGAUAUUGUGGUGUUAAAUGAUCUAAAUCUCGCUUCACAUAUAUCACAAUCCGAUACGGUGUUUGACAAAACCCGAAUUUUUUGGGAACAAAAAAGGUUGUGCUAGCAAGGAAAUUCACUUCAGCUCAAGACUUGAUAAGGCAUGUGGCGACCCUAGGAGGUGUUGUUGUGCUCACUCGCAUACCAUAUAUUCAGAGUUAAAGUUGUUUGCGUGCUUUCUAUGGUCUAAGUUAUUUUGAAUACAUCAGGUUUUUUAUGUUUGUUUGUAGCCUAAACCUUGCAGAUGGUCUCUACGAUGUAGCUAUAAAUUUUUUCUCAUGCCGACAGUGGUAACACAUGAAAGAUCCAGAAAGAUUUGAAGCGGCGUAGAUCCAGCCGGUGCAUACUAUUGCCUUCCAAGGCCUUGAAGGAGAUCAUAUAUGUUUGGCUACUGACAUGACAAGAAUUUCAGCAAAAAGGUGACAUGAAUUUUCACCUUCUCGUCUGCUCUUUUAUCUUUUGCUAUUCUGCAUUAACACUCAGGUGUCUGCUGUUUCAGAUUUCCAAUUAUUAGGCACAUGCUUUGCAGCUUGUAUUAGUACAUAUCACCAUGCAUCCAUGCCUAAGAUACUAGCGAAAUGAAGGAAACUUUUCCAUGAUUUGUGUAGACUGGAGUCCCUUUAACAUGCAUUCUCUAUUCUUGAUUUAAUAAUUCGACUAUAUGGUGUGCAUUUAACUAGUGGAUGAAACUAUAAUCACCGCUUGAUUCUAUGUCCAAUGCUAGAGAAAAGGUUAUUUUUCAUAUUACUGGGGAACAACCAAUUUGGCUUGUUCUAUGUCUGCUCAAAUAAUUGUUUCAGUUUCAAAUUUGUCGCAUAAGAAAUAAGCCAUCAAAGCACAGAAAUGCAAUCUUAGUAGCAAUACUAACUUAGGGCGCAGACAUUUAGUGCUCGGGCUUGCUUCCCUUUGGUAUCGUUAGAUAGUAGAGAUGACUGACAUAUGUUAAUGCAUGUGAAAACUCAACGUUAAAGCAAGCUGUCUUGUGAAAUACAUAACUGGCGUAACCACUUAGAAAAGGAAACCAGUUGUUCCCCACUGCUAUGAAAAAUACAGAGCUGACGUACAAGAUACAAAACUUAUUUGGAGGUAGUUAACAGAGGUGACAUUUAUUAGGGGGGUGACACUCAUGCAAGUAGCUACGGCUAGAGCGUUGGCCAUGAUUAGCAGCACCAUAAUGAGGGCAUUUGUCCUGGAAGUGUGGUCGGGGACUGGGGAUGAUUGAACACAGGUGACUGUCUUCUCAACUUGAUGUUGCUUUGAAUGCGUCGGACGCUGAUCCAAGUUGCGGCGAGCUGAUAUCCAUCAUGGCUUGGGAGGGAUUACUUGUAUUCUACCAAUUCAAAAUUAAUCUCAUGCAAUCAUUUCCUUGAUGACUAUGAGAGGUAUUCCCAUUUGCAAAUCUCUGCCUUCACGUAUGGCCUCAUGCGAGGUCCGGCCGCCAACGGCGCGAUGUGAAAUGCGGGUGUUGGAGGUGCAGGUGGAGGGGUGGAGCGACGACGACGACGGCCAGAGGAAGAGCCGGCCUUGUGGUCGUUCCUGCCCUUGCAGCCGGAGAUCCAGUGUGGCCGGCGGCGAGGUGGAGCUAGGGUUUGGAGAAACCAAGCGUGUCGGUAUUCAAGGAGGCAUGUGUUGCCGGGAGUGGGGAAGUGGAAGUGUGUACCCCCACCGGUCCAUGGCUUUCGCAUUAAAAAGGACGGCGACCACUCGGCCGGGGUGGCUGACAAGCGGGGCCAACCGCGCGUGCAUCGUAAAAGUGGACGGUGGGUGGUAGGUGGGUGAGGGAGUCCUGGAUAAGGGGUAUCCGAACAGCCGGACUAUAUACAUCGUCCGAACUAUAGAAGCGUCAAGAUACAAGACUCAAGACUUCGGCUCGUGUCCGGAUGGGACUCUCCUUUGCGUGGAAGACAAGCUUGGCGAUCCGGAUAUUAU